AGUGAACGCUGGCGGUAGGCCUAACACAUGCAAGUCGAACGGCAGCACAGUAAGAGCUUGCUCUUACGGGUGGCGAGUGGCGGACGGGUGAGGAAUACAUCGGAAUCUACUUUUUCGUGGGGGAUAACGUAGGGAAACUUACGCUAAUACCGCAUACGACCUACGGGUGAAAGCAGGGGAUCUUCGGACCUUGCGCGAUUGAAUGAGCCGAUGUCGGAUUAGCUAGUUGGCGGGGUAAAGGCCCACCAAGGCGACGAUCCGUAGCUGGUCUGAGAGGAUGAUCAGCCACUCUGGAACUGAGACACGGUCCAGACUCCUACGGGAGGCAGCGGUGGGGAAUAUUGGACAAUGGGCGCAAGCCUGAUCCAGCCAUACCGCGUGGGUGAAGAAGGCCUUCGGGUUGUAAAGCCCUUUUGUUGGGAAAGAAAAGCAGCAGGUUAAUACCCCGCUGUUCUGACGGUACCCAAAGAAUAAGCACCGGCUACCUUCGU
rnacentral:rRNA from 1 species